rnacentral:misc_RNA from 1 species
GAUGAAGAACGCAGUGAAAUGCGAUAAGUAAUGUGAAUUGCAGAAUUCAGUGAAUCAUCGAAUCUUUGAACGCACCUUGCGCCCUUUGGCCAUUCCGAAGGGCAUGCCUGUUUGAGUAUCAUGAACACCUCAACUCUUUAUGGUUUUCCAUGAUGAGCUUGGACUCUGGGGGUUUUGCUGGCUCACAGUCGGCUCCUCUAAAAUGAAUCAGCUUACCAGUGUUUGGUGGGUAUCAUGGGUGUGAUAACUAUCUACGCUUGUGGUUUUUCCACCAGGUAACCUUCAGCAGUGGAGGUUCGCUGGAGCUCAUAGAUGUCUCUCCUCAGUGAGGACAGCCCUUUGAAUGUUUGAUCUCAGAUCAGGUAGGACUACCCGCUGAACUUAAGCAUAUCAAUAAGCGGAGGA